GGCCCAUUCGUAUAGUGGCUAGUACACCUGGUUUUGAAUACUUCAGUAGAUCUCCAGGCAACCUGGGUUCGAACCCCAGAUGGACCU
rnacentral:tRNA from 1 species